GGGGUUGUGGCUCAGUGGUAGAUCUUUCGCCUAGCAUGUGCGAAGCUCUGGGUUUGAUCCUCAGCACCACA
rnacentral:tRNA from 1 species